rnacentral:lncRNA from 1 species
ACACACACACGCAUCAAUACUUGUCAGUGUUGCACUGCUUGUGUGUGUGUGUGUGUGUGUUACCAUGUAUAUGAUCAUGUAUUCGAAAUAACGGACUGAAGUGUAUACUGUAUAUGUGAGUUGGAUACUGUCUUGUAUAUAUGCGGUUGCCAUCGGACAGCUUUGUUUGGACAGUAUAUACAUAGACACACACACACACAUAUACUUGUAGAUACACAUAUAUGCAUAUAAAUAUAUAUAUACACAUACACCCACCACCACUACUACAUGCACACAGGGAUGUAGAUAAAUGAAUUUACACACCCACUCUUUCCACACAUACAGAGGCACGCUUGUAUGCACAAACACACAGGUUUUCAGUGGAUACUCACAGCCACAGCUGUAAACAGUCUGGAAAGGCACACGUGGCUGUUGGACAAGAAGACAACCUGUAUGGACCUGUAUCUAUGAGUGUGUAAGAACCACGCGUAUAUAUUGAUCUGACUGCGGCCAUGCUGGAGCACGGUACUGAAGAAUUCUUAGUCGAAUGUAUUGACCCCAGGACUUCUGUUUUUAAGCCUAGUACAUAUUCUAUCGAUCUCUCAAACCGAACCGCUGAAUCAGUCUGCUAUAAUAAAUCCAUAAGCACAUAUAAAACAUCCAAGGGUAUACCUUUUCUCCACUGAAAAUAUUAUGCUCACGACAUAUAAAUAGGAAUUUAAUAUUU